UAUGACCAUAUCAAGUUGUUACACCGGUUCUCAUACAUUCACUGAAGUUAAGCAACAUUGACUCUGGUCAGUACUUAGAUGGGUGACCACUUGAAAAUACUAGGUGCUGUAA